rnacentral:rRNA from 1 species
GAUUAACGCUGGCGGCGUGCUUAACACAUGCAAGUCGAACGAUGAAGCUGGAGCUUGCUCCGGUGGAUUAGUGGCGAACGGGUGAGUAACACGUGAGCAAUCUGCCCUUGACUCUGGGAUAACUGCGGGAAACUGUAGCUAAUACCGGAUACUUUCACUGGAAGGCAUCUUCUGGUGAAGAAAGAAUUUCGGUCAAGGAUGAGCUCGCGGCCUAUCAGCUUGUUGGUGAGGUAACGGCUCACCAAGGCGACGACGGGUAGCCGGCCUGAGAGGGUGACCGGCCACACUGGGACUGAGACACGGCCCAGACUCCUACGGGAGGCAGCAGUGGGGAAUAUUGCACAAUGGGCGCAAGCCUGAUGCAGCAACGCCGCGUGAGGGAUGAAGGCCUUCGGGUUGUAAACCUCUUUUAGCAGGGAAGAAGCGAAAGUGACGGUACCUGCAGAAAAAGCACCGGCUAACUACGUGCCAGCCGCCGCGGUAA